GAUUUAGUGGCGAACGGGUGAGGAUCACGUGAGAAACGUGCCCCAGACUCUGGGAUAACAAUUGGAAACGAUUGCUAAUACCGGAUGACGUCGGAGAACCGCAUGGUUCACUGACGAAAGAUAUUUCGGUUUGGGAGCGUCUCGCGGCCUAUCAGCUUGUUGGUGGGGUAAUGGCCUACCAAGGCAACGACGGGUAGCUGGUCUGAGAGGAUGAUCAGCCACACUGGGACUGAGACACGGCCCAGACUCC
rnacentral:rRNA from 1 species